UACGAAGGGAGCUAGCGUUGUUCGGAAUCACUGGGCGUAAAGCGCACGUAGGCGGCUGUGUCAGUCAGGGGUGAAAUCCCGGAGCUCAACUUCGGAACUGCCUUUGAUACAGCACGUCUUGAGUCCGAUAGAGGUGGGUGGAAUUCCUAGUGUAGAGGUGAAAUUCGUAGAUAUUCGCAAGAACACCAGUGGCGAAGGCGGCUCACUGGCCCGGUACUGACGCUGAGGCACGAAAGCGUGGGGAGCAAACAGG
rnacentral:rRNA from 1 species